rnacentral:tRNA from 1 species
GGCGAGUUGGCAGAGUGGUCUAUUGCGGUGGUUUUGAACGCCACUGAGGGUCUCGCAUCCUCCCAGAGUUCGAAUCUCUGGCUCGCCGCCA